CAUCAUGCAGCGCAGUUGGUAGUGCAGCCGUCUUACGGAAGAUCAGGGGUUCGAUUCCCCUCAUGGUGA
rnacentral:tRNA from 1 species